AGUAAAUUGGUUAAGUUAGAAAGGGCGCACGGUGGAUGCCUUGGCACUAGGAGCCGAAGAAGGACGGGACUAACACCGAUAUGCUUUGGGGAGCUGUACGUAAGCGUUGAUCCAGAGAUUUCCGAAUGGGGGAACCCACUAUCUUUAGUCGGAUAGUAUCCUUACGUGAAUACAUAGCGUGAGGAAGGCAGACCCAGGGAACUGAAACAUCUAAGUACCUGGAGGAAGAGAAAGAAAAAUCGAUUUCCUGAGUAGCGGCGAGCGAAACGGAAAGAGCCCAAACCAAGAAGCUUGCUUCUUGGGGUUGUAGGACACUCUAUACGGAGUUACAAAAGAAAGUUAUAAAUGAAGCGGUCUGGAAAGGCCCGCCAAAGACGGUAACAGCCCGGUAGUUGAAAUGGCUUUCCCUCCAGAGUGGAUCCUGAGUACGGCGGAACACGUGAAAUUCCGUCGGAAUCCGGGAGGACCAUCUCCCAAGGCUAAAUACUCCCUAGUGACCGAUAGUGAACCAGUACCGUGAGGGAAAGGUGAAAAGCACCCCGGAAGGGG
rnacentral:rRNA from 1 species